rnacentral:rRNA from 1 species
GAUGAACGCUAGCGGCAGGCCUAACACAUGCAAGUCGAGGGAGAAGCCCUUCGGGGCAGAAACCGGCGCACGGGUGCGUAACGGUAUGCAACCUACCUUUCACAGGGGGAUAGCCCGGAGAAAUUUGGAUUAAUAUCCCAUAAUAUUGUUGGAUGGCAUCAUUUGGCAAUUAAAGUUACGAUGGUGGAAGAUGGGCAUGCGUCCUAUUAGCUAGUUGGCGAGGUAACGGCUCGCCAAGGCGACGAUAGGUAGGGGUCCUGAGAGGGAGAUCCCCCACACUGGUACUGAGACAGGGACCAGACUCCUACGGGAGGCAGCAGUGAGGAAUAUUGGUCAAUGGUCGGAAGACUGAACCAGCCAUGCCGCGUGCAGGAAGGCGGCCUUAUGGGUUGUAAACUGCUUUUAUAUGGGAAGAAUAAGGGGUACGUGUACUUGAUGACG